rnacentral:rRNA from 1 species
GACGAACGCUGGCGGCGUGCCUAACACAUGCAAGUCGAACGAGAAAGUCCCUUCGGGGGCGAGUACAGUGGCGCACGGGUGAGUAACGCGUGAAUAAUCUGCCCUUAAGUGUGGAAUAACGUACCGAAAGGUGCGCUAAUACCGCAUAAUGCCUGGCAACAUAAGUUGUCCGGCCAAAGAAGGCCUCUGCUUGCAAGCUUUCGCUAAAGGAUGAGUCCGCGUACCAUUAGCUAGUUGGUGGGGUAACGGCCUACCAAGGCGACGAUGGUUAGCUGGUCUGAGAGGAUGAUCAGCCACACUGGAACUGAGACACGGUCCAGACUCCUACGGGAGGCAGCAGUGAGGAAUAUUGCGCAAUGGGGGCAACCCUGACGCAGCAACGCCGCGUGAGUGAGGAAGGUUUUCGGACUGUAAAGCUCUGUCGAGCGGGAAGAAGUGUACCAUGGCUAAUAUCCAUGAUAUUUGACGGUACCGCUAGAGGAAGCACC